rnacentral:rRNA from 1 species
GACGAACGCUGGCGGCGUGCCUAAUACAUGCAAGUAGAACGCUGAAGGAGGAGCUUACUUCUCUGGAUGAGUUGCGAACGGGUGAGUAACGCGUAGGUAACCUGCCUGGUAGCGGGGGAUAACUAUUGGAAACGAUAGCUAAUACCGCAUAAGAGUAGAUGUUGCAUGACAUUUACUUAAAAGGUGCAAUUGCACCACUACCAGAUUGACCUGCGUUGUAUUAGCUAGUUGGUGGGGUAACGGCUUACCAAGGCGACGAUACAUAGCCGACCUGAGAGGGUGAUCGGCCACACUGGAACUGAGACACGGCCCAGACUCCUACGGGAGGCAGCAGUAGGGAAUCUUCGGCAAUGGACGGAAGUCUGACCGAGCAACGCCGCGUGAGUGAAGAAGGUUUUCGGAUCGUAAAGCUCUGUUGUAAGAGAAGGACGAGUGUGAGAGUGGAAAGUUCACACUGUGGCGGUAUCUUACCAGAAAGGGACGGCUAACUACGUGCCAGCCGCCGCCGUAA